GACGAACGCUGGCGGCGUGCUUAACACAUGCAAGUCGAACGGAAAGGCCCUGCGUUUGUGGGGUGCUCGAGUGGCGAACGGGUGAGUAACACGUGAGUAACCUGCCCUUGACUUUGGGAUAACUUCAGGAAACUGGGGCUAAUACCGGAUAGGAGCUCCUGCUGCAUGGUGGGGGUUGGAAAGUUUCGGCGGUUGGGGAUGGACUCGCGGCUUAUCAGCUUGUUGGUGGGGUAGUGGCUUACCAAGGCUUUGACGGGUAGCCGGCCUGAGAGGGUGACCGGCCACAUUGGGACUGAGAUACGGCCCAGACUCCUACGGGAGGCAGCAGUGGGGAAUAUUGCACAAUGGGCGGAAGCCUGAUGCAGCAACGUCGCGUGCGGGAUGACGGCCUUCGGGUUGUAAACCGCUUUCGCCUGUGACGAAGCGUGAGUGACGGUAAUGGGUAAAGAAGCACCGGCUAACUACGUG
rnacentral:rRNA from 1 species